GACGAACGCUGGCGGCGUGCCUAAUACAUGCAAGUCGAACGCAGUGGGGACGGGUGAGUAACAUGUGGGUAACCUCCCAUCAGAGGGGAUAACACUUGGAAACAGGUGCUAAACCGAUACUGAUGGAUGGUCCCGCGGUGCAUUAGCUAGUUGGUGAGGUAACGGCUCACCAAGGCCACGAUCCAUAGCCAGCCAGUGAGUGUAUUCGUCAAAACAGUGACUAGGACAAGGCCCAUAAUCAUACGAGAGGCAGCAGUAGGGAAUCUUCUGCAAUGGACGAAAGUCUGACCGAGCAACGCCGCGUGAGUAAAGAAUGUUUUCGGAUCGUAAAACUCUGUUGUUAGAGAAACGGUAUCUAACCAGAAAGCCACGGCUAACUACGUGCCAGCCGCCGCGGUAAUUC
rnacentral:rRNA from 1 species